rnacentral:rRNA from 1 species
AUACGGAGGGUGCAAGCGUUAAUCGGAAUUACUGGGCGUAAAGCGUACGUAGGCGGUCUGUUAAGUCGGGUGUGAAAGCCCCGGGCUUAACCUGGGAAUGGCAUCCGAUACUGGCAGGCUAGAGUCUGGUAGAGGGAAGUGGAAUUCCGCAUGUAGCGGUGAAAUGCGUAGAUAUGCGGAGGAACACCAGUGGCGAAGGCGGCUUCCUGGACCAAGACUGACGCUGAGGUGCGAAAGCGUGGGGAGCAAACAGGAUUAGAUACCCCUGUAGUCC